UACGUAGGGUGCGAGCGUUGUCCGGAAUUAUUGGGCGUAAAGGGCUCGUAGGUGGCCAACUAAGUCAGACGUGAAAUCCCUCGGCUUAACCGGGGGAACUGCGUCUGAUACUGGAUGGCUUGAGUUUGGGAGAGGGAUGCGGAAUUCCAGGUGAGCGGUGAAAUGCGUAGAUAUCUGGAGGAACACCGGUGGCGAAGGCGGCAUCCUGGACCAAUACUGACACUGAGGAGCGAAAGCCAGGGGAGCAAACGGG
rnacentral:rRNA from 1 species